GACGAACGUUGGCGGCGUGCUUAAUACAUGCAAGUCAACUGAAGCAGUGGUAGCAAUAUCGCUGUGGAGGUGGCGCACGGGUGAGUAACACGUAGGUAAUCUGCCUUCAGGUCUGGCAUAACUCCGGGAAACCGGGGCUAAUAGCAGAUGAUGCAGCGGCUCGACAUCGAGACAGUUGUUAAAGCUAUGGCGCCUGAAGAUGAGCCUGCGUCUGAUUAGCUAGUUGGCGGGGUAACGGCCCACCAAGGCAACGAUCAGUAGCUGGUCUGAGAGGAUGAUCAGCCACACUGGAACUGAGACACGGUCCAGACACCUACGGGAGGCAGCAGUAAGGAAGAUUGCUCAAUGGGAGAAAUCCUGAAGCAGCAAAGCCGCGUGAAGGACGAAGGGCUUUUGCUUGUAAACCUCUGUAGUGAGAGAAAAAAAUCCCAAUCUUUGGGACAUGAUGGUAUCUAAAAAGUAAGCCCCGGCUAACUACGUG
rnacentral:rRNA from 1 species